rnacentral:rRNA from 1 species
AUUGAACGCUGGCGGCAGGCCUAACACAUGCAAGUCGAGCGGAUGAAGGGAGCUUGCUCCUGUAUUCAGCGGCGGACGGGUGAGUAAUGCCUAGGAAUCUGCCUGGUAGUGGGGGAUAACGUCCGGAAACGGGCGCUAAUACCGCAUACGUCCUGAGGGAGAAAGUGGUGGAUCUUCGGACCUCACGCUAUCAGAUGAGCCUAGGUCGGAUUAGCUAGUUGGUGGGGUAAAGGCCUACCAAGGCGACGAUCCGUAACUGGUCUGAGAGGAUGAUCAGGCACACUGGAACUGAGACACGGUCCAGACUCCUAAGGGAGGCAGCAGUAGGGAAAAUUUGGCAAUGGGCGAAAGCCUGAAGCAGCCAAGCCGCGUGAGUGAAGAAGGUCUUCGGAUUGUAAAGCACUUUAAGUUGGGAGGAAGGGCAGUAAGUUAAUACCUUGCUGUUUUGACGUUACCAACAGAAUAAGCACCGGCUAACUUCGUG